UCCCAUGUGAUAAUUAAUAUAAAGGAUCAUUAAAUUGUCUUGAAACAUUUAGAAGUUUCAAGACAAUUGAGAAAGAGAGAAACAAGAGAAAGAAGAGCAAGAAUAAGAAGGCCAUUUUCGGCCAAGCUCUAGACCAAAAAAAAAAAAAUUUUUUUUUUUUUUUUUUUCAAAAAUCAAUUUCUACCAAUUAAAGGGUCCUUUACAACUUGGUGUAAUUAUUUUGGAAGAAAGAACACUUGUUUCUUCAAGUUGACAACUUGGUCAAGUGAAGAAGAUUGUAGAAAAAGAUUUUGGCGAACUUGAAACUUGAUUUUGGAGACGUGUAUGAAUCGGAAAAGGUCAACAGGUAGACAGAUUUGACUCUUAGAAGCUCCAUCAGCAGUACUGUGGCAGCGCUCCAGUUGUUCCGGAGCCUCAGUUUCUUGGUACUACUUUUGUGUACAUAUUCGGGCACGGUAGAACCGGUCCUUCUUGUAUAUGUAGAUGUACUUUGUUUAGAGGCUCGUAGACAGAUAUGUACAGUCAGAUGUUUUGUACUUUUGUGGUUCUCGUCGUUGUAUAAUGUGCUAGCAAAGUUUAUAAGUCCAUGUCUACAAUUAUGCCAUUAAUGUUAGCGUUAAGCAACAGAAAAAAAAAAUACGGUAUAGUCUAUACGGCCCACCUAGUAGUAAAAGUACGAUACGAGAUAAGGGGUGCUCGGUACAAGUAUCGGGUACCCGUCGCGGCCUCUAGUUGGGUCGUGACAGAAGCAGCUCAAUUGGUAAGAGGCGAUUCCCUUUGGGGAAUGUAAAGGAGCCAGAGGUUCCGCGUUCGACCCCCCGUAGCGCUGCAGCGUGAUGAGGGUUGGGGCGAAGGCCUUGGGCG